CAUGGCUCAGAUUGAACGCUGGCGGCAGGCUUAACACAUGCAAGUCGAGGGGAAACGGCAUUAUGUGCUUGCACAUUUUGGACGUCGACCGGCGCACGGGUGAGUAUCGCGUAUCCAACCUGCCCUUUACUUGGGGAUACCCCGUUGAAAGACGGCCUAAUACCCGAUAUUGUUCAUUGAUGGCAUCAGAUAUGAAUAAAAGAUUUAUCGGUAAAGGAUGGGGAUGCGUCUGAUUAGCUUGUUGGUGAGGUAACGGCUCACCAAGGCGACGAUCAGUAGGGGUUCUGAGAGGAAGGUCCCCCACAUUGGAACUGAGACACGGUCCAAACUCCUACGG
rnacentral:rRNA from 1 species